UCGUUAUUCGCCUUCGUAACUGGCUAUUCCUCCUCUGCACAAACUUCACGAGCACCUCCUUGUUGUGGCUCACCACAAGUUCCCUAUUGUGUGCGUACCCUUGUUUGGGUCGUCUUCCGCCACCGGACGCUCACACACUUCAAGCCUUCAAUCUCGCUCUCUCACUGCUACCAGCAACGACGAAGUAGGAACUCGUGCUUACAUAGAUCCUGACUACUAUAUAUCUGGAAGGUUUGGUUGCAGGCACAAAUAAUGAGACUCUUGCACAGUUUGCAAAUAUUAUGGUUAUGAUGCUCCAAUUGAUGAGUAUGGAACUAUUAGAUAGACCAAGUGGGGCCACCUUAAAGACUUGCAUAAAGCCAUUAAACUUUGUGAAGAAGCACUGGCAACUACUGAUCCAAAUAUUGCAUCUCUUGGACCAAACAUAGAGUAGCUAUGGGGACCACAUCAUGAAACCAUUUGCAUCAAGAUUCUUCAUUCAUCACACCAAAAUCAGAAAAACGAGUUGAUUUUACCA